AACACCUCAAAGCUUUUGGAUUUUUUAAUCGAAAAGCUUUGGACUUGAGCAAUCCCAACACCAAUCUUUUUGAGAUCGGUGGCGGGUUGCUUGAAAUGCAGGUGCAACUGGACAUUCUCCUGAGCUAAAAGCAUAUUCAUUUAGUCCCGUCAAACGGAUUAUUACUUUUGCUGCAACUAACAUAAAAAAAAUUUAACCAUAUUAACUAACUAAUACAGGAUUUCACAAGGGUCGGCAACGAUUCUUGUUAA
rnacentral:misc_RNA from 1 species